rfam:Nematostella vectensis strain CH2 x CH6 NEMVEscaffold_350_Cont24649, whole genome shotgun sequence.
ACCAGGAUGGCCGAGUGGUUAAGGCGUUGGACUUAACUUCCAAUGUACGAAUGUACGCGUGGGUUCGAACCCCACUCCUGGUA